AUUGAACGCUGGCGGCAUGCUUUACACAUGCAAGUCGAACGGUAACAGGGAAAAGCUUGCUUUUCUGCUGACGAGUGGCGAACGGGUGAGUAACACAUCGGAACGUGCCCUGUAGUGGGGGAUAACUACUCGAAAGAGUGGCUAAUACCGCAUACAACCUGAGGGUAAAAGUGGGGGACCGCAAGGCCUCACGCUAUAGGAGCGGCCGAUGGAAGAUUAGGUAGUUGGUAGGGUAAAGGCCUACCAAGCCGACGAUCUUUAGCGGGUCUGAGAGGACGAUCCGCCACACUGGGACUGAGACACGGCCCAGACUCCUACGGGAGGCAGCAGUGGGGAAUUUUGGACAAUGGGGGGAAACCCUGAUCCAGCCAUGCCGCGUGAGUGAAGAAGG
rnacentral:rRNA from 1 species